ACCAGGCUGUACCUCAGUGGAAGGAGCAGAGGCACGCACGGAGCGCGCGGUAGCUGUGAGGGGCAGCGCAGGGCAGGGCACCCCGGUGGAGUUCAGGCCAGGUCCGUGCCGGCGGAGCGGAGAGAGCCCAGGUGCAUAGAGCGGGGGGAGGGAAUUAGGCAACAAUAAGCAGUCGGCCAAGCCACCACGCCACUGCAUCCGAGCAGCACCUAGGGCAGGCAGACGGUCCCAAGUGCAGAGCAGCAGCAGCAGCGGUAGUAUGGAGCAGGAGAAAUAUUUGCCCGAGCUGAUGGCAGAGAAGGACAGCCUGGACCCGUCCUUUGUUCAUGCAAUGCGCCUCCUGGCUGAAGAAAUUGAAAAAUUUCAGGGUUCUGAUGGGAAAAAGGAAGAUGAAGAAAAGAAAUACCUUGAUGUCAUCAGCAACAAAAACAUAAAGCUGUCAGAAAGAGUACUGAUCCCUGUCAAACAGUAUCCCAAGUUCAAUUUUGUUGGGAAAUUGCUUGGACCAAGAGGAAACUCCUUGAAGAGGUUACAGGAGGAGACAGGUGCAAAAAUGUCUAUCCUGGGAAAAGGUUCCAUGAGGGAUAAAGCUAAGGAAGAAGAACUAAGGAAAAGUGGGGAAGCCAAAUAUUCACACUUGAGCGACGAGCUUCAUGUUCUAAUUGAAGUGUUUGCUCCACCUGGGGAAGCUUAUUCACGUAUGAGUCAUGCCUUGGAAGAGAUUAAAAAAUUCCUUGUUCCAGACUACAAUGAUGAAAUCCGUCAGGAGCAGCUGAGAGAAUUGUCGUACUUGAAUGGUUCUGAAGAUUCAGCACGUGGACGGGGCAUUCGUGGAAGAGGAAUCCGGGUACCACCUGCAGCUCCAUCAAGAGGACGUGGGGGUGCAAUUCCUCCUCCCCCACCUGGGCGAGGUGCCCAAACACCUAGAGGGACACCAGUGACACGUGGAGCACUCCCAGUUCCUCCUGUAGCUAGGGGCGUUCCAACCCCUCGAGCAAGGGGAACUCCAACGGUCCCAGGCUACAGACCACCCCCUCCUCCAGCACAUGAGGCCUAUGAAGAAUAUGGAUAUGAUGAUGGAUAUGGGGGUGAAUAUGAUGACCCAAGCUACGAGGCAUAUGAUAACAGUUAUGCCACCCAAACACAGAGUGUGCCUGAAUAUUAUGAUUAUGGUCAUGGAACAAGUGAAGAUGCUUAUGACAGCUACGCACAAGAAGAAUGGGCCACAACCCGUUCCAGCCUAAAGGCACCGCCUCCAAGGUCAGCCCGAGGGGGUUACAGGGAACACCCCUAUGGUAGAUAUUGAAGGUCCUCCUCAUCUGUGACCUCAACUCAAAGACAAUUAAUAGCCUGUGGUCUCCACAUAAACAGCAACAAGACAAGGACGCACAGGCAAUGGACAGCUAAGCAGCAGAUGUAUUGAGAAGUGUUCAGGUACAGAGUACUUCAUUAUGUGCACGAAAAGAAAUGCUUAAACAGAUGAAGCAGCUAUUUGCAUCUGAUAGGAGCUAAGUGGGACAUUAAAUUAAUGCCAAACAAGAGACACAUAAGGAGGAUUCCAAUUGAUCAAGGUGAAAAGAGAGGAAAGAAAUCAGCUGGGUUUUUUUCAUACAAGGAAUCUAUAUGGCCAGUGUGGGUUACACCAGAAGAGUUUCACUAUUCAGUCUGAAGAACAAAAUGAGGUUAAUAAGAAUGUAACAUUGAAGAAACGUUAUGACAAGCAAAUCAAAAUGCAGCAUUCUGAAAGGUCAAAAUGGGACAUUACAUCCUUAUUAUUCCAAGAAUAUAUGAGUGUAAUACUAUGGCACUAUUUUUCAGUGAAAAAAGAUUUUAAUCAAGAGCUGAAAAUGGAACAACUUUAUUUCUUUUUUGUGACAAAGAUUAUAACAAGGGUGUAAAAUAAAGCUCUUCCUGUUGUAAUUUUCCAAAUGUGGAUCCUACUUGUAUGUCAAAGACCUAAACUAUACCAAAGAGUUCAUACUCGUAUAAUGCAUUUUAUCUGUAUCUAUAGCUAUGUACACUAGAUAUCAUUUAGAAUUCAACAUUUUCCUUCUGAAAUCACACAAUGCCCAUUUUAGUUCACAGAUUGCAUCUGUUUUACAUUGGCUCCUUCCUCAAGAUAUGGGGACAUUUUAAGGCAAAGGAAUUUACAGUGCAUCCAGUAGCUUAGUAACAAACUGCUAAACAUAUGAAACUCUCAUGAUCUGAUGUGUCAAGUUUAGUCAUCACACACAUGAAGACUCUUCUUCUAGGACUACAGGUCUGAGGAAACAAAAGCUAAACUAUAAGAAUUUGAAAUAUUACAUUUUUCAACACCUAAAUACAACUUUAAGGUUCUUUUGGCCAAGACUAUUUCUAAUUAUUGAGCAAAUGAUGUAAUUAAAAUUAAAGGUGGGCAUUUGAAAAGCAGCGCUCUUGCUGACUAGCCAAAAAACCCUUUGCUUAUCCAGAUCGAUAUUUGAGGAGUUUGAUACAAUGUGUAGAAUUACAGUUGAGGUGUUAGCAAUGUUAAAAACUGUUAUGCAAAAACAUUAAAUUAUUUCAAACCAUAACUAGCUUUUAAAUAUUGUUAGUGUUAUUGGUAUGGGUGGAUCCUGCACAAGAGCUGUCAGGUAGAAAUUAAGAGAAGACAAAGUGAUGUUUGUAUAUGUAUUUUUCAGGGAAAUAUGCCUGAAGAAGUUCCAUCUUCAUGAUACUUUUAAGUUCAACAUCUUGCUGAGGAAAGCCAGUUAGGUUUUGUGGCUUGGACAUGACAGCACCAGGAGAUUUUUGGUUUCUCAUGUUUUGGUUUUAAGUGAACAACCCUGCACUCGUACUUGAGCUUCACCCUAGUCAUACACAUUAUUUUGUCCUCUCUGAUUGACCUGCCAUAGUUCAGUGAUAAGGAAGCAGGGAGAUCAGGUGACUUGAUCCAAAAACAAUUUCCAGGCCUUGAGUAGAAAAAGUGAUUUUUUCCCCUUUCUUUGGGUGAUUUCCUUUUCCAUUAGAGACUGCAAAUGCAUUUGUCAUCUUUUGUUUUCAGCUAUAAGGUAGAAUAGUUUUUGAAUGUGUUCACAAUCCGCAGUGUAUUUUGAAACUUCAAAGAUUUUGCAAAACUACACAUAAAAAUCCCUAAUGGCUGUUUCAUUUCAUUAGUGCCCAUAGAAAUUACUGUUGUCUUAGUGUCUAGAAAAAUUCUGCAAAGUGCAGUUUAAUGCAUUAUGUCUGGUUCUUUGUAACUUAACCUAACUUGUUAGUUAUGAAACUAAAAUUGCUGUACUGAACUCUCCUCUGUUAUUAUGCGCCCACUGUUAAUAUGAGGAUGCAGGUAUACAGCCAAUACAAAACAGUAAAUAGCAUGACAUCUUGUUUGUGGAGUUAUUAAAUCUUUAUAACACAAAUCCAUUAACAUCCUCCUUGCAUUUGAAAUGUGUACCAAUAUAUCUGCCUGCAUCUAAACAUGCUUCUAAGAAAUCAUCAUAGUUUUCAUUGUAUACCUUUUUUCCUUGAGAGGGACAAAACAACAUUAAAGCAUAUGAUUAGAUGGAGAAUUUCAGCUGUCGAUAGGACACUGUGUUUACACUUUUCAUACUAUGCAUUUUAAAAAUUAUUUAGCUGUAUAGUCACACAGUGGAGUGCAAUAUUUAUAACAAAACCAGAAUGGAACCUCAGGUAACUCUUUUGGUGGUUGUUAUACUCUUUUCAUGUUUGCCUUUGUGAUUAGAUUAUUACUGUUGUCAUAUGUAGCAUUACCCAAAGUUCACUAUGCUUAGCAUAGGAAAUUCCUAGGAAAUACUGUGACUACCAGAGGCAUCACUGUGUAGUUACCUCAUGCAUAUGAGAAGUUAUAAAGGGUCAUUUACAUUUUGAAAACACUCAGAAUAGUCACAUGUACACCAUAGACACAGUCCCCAAGGAAGAGGAUCACAUGAUUUCUUAUGAGCAGAACUCCUUAGUUAUACAUAGAUGGCAAGAGAUGGGUGGGGGGAGUCUCCUGUUAAAAUAGGAGCAAGACUGAGGUAGAGGAGAAGAAAGAGGAAGGUGAUGUGUGAGUGGAGGGUGUUUGGUAAGGGAGCAGAAAAUGAUAAACCAUUGAGUUUUUUAAAAACAAGGAGGGUUUCUUUUUAAUGGAUUCUGAAAUAAAUGGACCAAUCUACAAUAGACUGUUUUGCAAACCCACACAAGGAGAGGCUGCAUAGUGGGACUCACUGAAAAUGUACUCUUUUGUGUGCACAAAUCUAGCUUUGGAUGUACGUGCAUUUGUUUUGUAAUUUUGUCUCACACAACCCGCUAUUUAGUAUUUUAUGUAUAAAUAAACUAUAAACUGGAAAAUACACAA